AACUUAUCCAGAAAGACCGAGGGAAUGGCCCAGUGACGUCUUAGCAACCUAUACUAUUAUAAGGUGCUAACUCCAACUCCCAAAUGGGAGAAGAUAAGAA
rnacentral:ncRNA from 2 species